rnacentral:tRNA from 1 species
UGCCCAAUGCGGGAAUCGAACCCGGGCCGUAGCGGUCGAAAACCAACGGCUUAGACCAUCCUUCAACCAACUC